rnacentral:rRNA from 1 species
AUUGAACGCUGGCGGCAUGCCUUACACAUGCAAGUCGAACGGCAGCACGGGAGCAAUCCUGGUGGCGAGUGGCGAACGGGUGAGUAAUAUAUCGGAACGUGCCCAGUAGUGGGGGAUAGCCCGGCGAAAGCCGGAUUAAUACCGCAUGAGACCUGAGGGUGAAAGCGGGGGAUCGCAAGACCUCGCGCUAUUGGAGCGGCCGAUAUCAGAUUAGCUAGUUGGUGGGGUAAAGGCCUACCAAGGCAACGAUCUGUAGUUGGUCUGAGAGGACGACCAGCCACACUGGGACUGAGACACGGCCCAGACUCCUACGGGAGGCAGCAGUGGGGAAUUUUGGACAAUGGGCGCAAGCCUGAUCCAGCAAUGCCGCGUGCAGGAAGAAGGCC